rnacentral:rRNA from 1 species
AGAGUUUGAUCCUGGCUCAGGAUGAACGCUGGCGGCGUGGAUAAGGCAUGCAAGUCGAGCGGCUAGUUUUACUAGCAGCGGCAGACGGGUUAGUAACACGUAGGUAUUUACCUUGAAGUCUGGCAUAACUCGGAGAAAUUCGAGCUAAUUCCAGAUAGUCCCGUAAGGGUUAGAUUUAUCGCUUCAAGAGAAGCCAGCGUCCUAUCAGCUUGUUGGUGAGGUAAAGGCUCACCAAGGCUAUGACGGGUAGGGGGCGUGAGAGCGUGACCCCCAACAAUGGGACUGAGACACGGCCCAUACUCCUACGGGAGGCUGCAGUCGAGAAUCUUCCACAAUGGGCGAAAGCCUGAUGGAGCGACGCCGCGUGAAUGAAGAAGCCCUUCGGGGUGUAAAGUUCUUUUCUUAGAGAGAAAUUAUUGCUUGCAAUAAUGAUGUUACCUAAGGAAUAAGGGGCUGCUAAACUCGUGCCAGCAGCAGCGGUAAUACGAGUGCCCCAAGCGUUAUCCGGAAUCACUGGGCGUAAAGCGUGGGUAGGCGGUUUAAAUAGUGGGUGGUUAAAUUCCGGGGCUCAACUUCGGAGCUGCCAUCCAAACGUUUAGACUAGAGCAAGCGAGAGGCUAAUAGAACCUAACAAGUAGGGGUGAUAUCCGUUGAUAUGUUAGGGAACACCAAAGGCGAAGGCAUUUAGCUGGUGCUUAGCUGACGCUGAGCCACGAAAGCGUGGGGAGCAAAAAGGAUUAGAUACCCUUGUAGUCCACGCCGUAAACGAUGUCAACUAGCCGUUUGAAGUAUCGACCCUUCGAGUGGCGAAGCUAACGCGUUAAGUUGACCGCCUGGGAAGUACGGCCGCAAGGCUAAAACUCAAAGGAAUAGACGGGGACUUGCACAAGCGGUGGAUCAUGUGGUUUAAUUCGACGAUACGCGAGGAACCUUACCAGGGCUAGACUACCUAAUGAAAGAUUUCUGAAAGGAAGUCCCUCUCACAAGGACAUUAGGUUCAGGUGCUGCACGGUUGUCGUCAGCAUGUGUCUUGAGAUGCCCCCUUAAAUGGGUUAACAUGCGCAACCCUUACUAUCUGUUACAAGUGUCAGAUAGAACUGCCUCUGUAUAAGAGGAGGAAGGCGAGGACGACGUCAAAUCAGCGUGGCCCUUUGACGCCCUGGGCGACACACAUGAUACAAUGGCCAAUACAAUGGGUCGCGAAACCGAGAGGUGAAGCUAAUCCCAUCAAAGUUGGUCUCAGUUCGGAUUGGAGCUUGCAAUUCAGCUCCAUGAAGCCGGAAUCGCUAGUAAUCGCGAAUCAGCCAUGUCGCGGUGAAUACGUUCCCAAGUCUUGUACUCACCGCCCGUCACAUUAGGGAAGCUGGUAGUAGCCGAAGUCCCAUUUUCUUAUUUGGGCCUAAGCUAAGAUCAGUGACCAGAAUGAAGUCGUAACAAGGCA